rnacentral:rRNA from 1 species
UACGGAGGGUGCAAACGUUGCUCGGAAUCAUUGGGCGUAAAGCGCACGUAGGCGGCCUGAUAAGUCGGGUGUGAAAGCCCUGGGCUCAACCCAGGAAGUGCACUCGAAACUGUCAGGCUUGAAUAUGGAAGAGGGUCGCGGAAUUCCCGGUGUAGUGGUGAAAUACGUAGAUAUCUGGAGGAACACCGGUGGCGAAGGCGGCUACCUGGCCCAACAUUGACGCUGAGACCCGAAAGCGUGGGGAUCAAACAGG